rnacentral:rRNA from 1 species
UAAUUCGCAGAGACUAACAGGGAUUCCCCUAGUAACUGCGAGUGAAGAGGGAAAAGCUCAAAUUUGAAAUCUGGCAGUCUUUGGCUGUCCGAGUUGUAAUUUAGAGAAGUGUUACCCGCGUUGGACCGUGUACAAGUCUCCUGGAAUGGAGCGUCAUAGAGGGUGAGAAUCCCGUCUUUGACACGGACUACCAGUGCUUUGUGGUGCGCUCUCGAAGAGUCGAGUUGUUUGGGAAUGCAGCUCUAAAUGGGUGGUAAAUUCCAUCUAAAGCUAAAUAUUGGCGAGAGACCGAUAGCGAACAAGUACCGUGAGGGAAAGAUGAAAAGAACUUUGGAAAGAGAGUUAAACAGUACGUGAAAUUGCUGAAAGGGAAACGCUUGAAGUCAGUCGCGUUGGCCAGGGAUCAGCCUUCCUUUUGGUUGGUGCACUUCCUGGUUGACGGGUCAGCAUCAGUUUUGACCGUUGGAUAAAGUCUGGAGGAAUGUGGCAUCUUCGGAUGUGUUAUAGCCUUCAGUCGUAUACAACGGUUGGGACUGAGGAACUCAGCACGCCGCAAGGCCGGGUCUUUGACCACGUUCGUGCUUACGAUGCUGGCAUAAUGGCUUUAAUCGACCCGUCUUGAAACACGGACCAAGGAGUCUAACAUGCCUGCGAGUGUUUGGGUGGAAAACCCGAGCGCGUAAUGAAAGUGAAAGUUGAGAUCUCUGUCGUGGAGAGCAUCGACGCCCGGCCCAGACCUUCUGUGACGUGCCGCGGUUGAGCAUGUAUGUUGGACCCGAAAGAUGGUGAACUAUGCCUGAAUAGGUGAAGCCAGAGAACCUCUGGUUGAGCUCGUAGCGAAUCCUGACGUGCAAUCGAUCGUCGAAUUUGGCUAUAAGAGGCGAACAGACUAAUUCAAACCAUCUAGUAGCC